GUUAUCGUCAAAGUGUCGAUUUUUUCAAGGUAAUUGUCACAUCGGUUAUUUCUGUGGCUUGGGAAAAGGAAAUUUUCGAACUGCAUAUGGUAAAUCGUAAAAUUUUUUGGCCACUGAAUUGUGUGGGAAAAAAUGCUCAAACUAAACUUACUCGAAAAUGUCAGUUCAUAAAUCACUGGAUAUCAUGCAGUCUGCUACUUUUCUUAAUUACAGUUAUUAUCAAUUUUCCAUGUUUUGGAAGUCAGAGAGACUUUUUCAUUUGUGUUGAAGUUUUUGAAAAAUAUUUUGGGGAAUGGUCCUUUAUUCCUUAUUAUUUGUAUUUCGCAGCCUCGCCAUUUCUUUAUUAUCAUUUCUUUAGUAGUUCUUUCCUUUUUGUUUAUACAAUUCUAGACGCGCAGGUUCAGUACUUUCUUAUUGGAGCGUAUUUGUUUGAAACAUUUCAAACUGAUGAUUUGAAAGGUUGGAAAUAUUUGCAGGACGCUCACUACCAACAAGGAAUUGGAAAAUCGUUACGCUUGUGCAUUGAAAACCACAUUGCUUUAAAAAAGUUCAUGAAAAUGAGUCUGGACUUUGUAUUGAUAGGAAUCCCGUUUUUUCUGGUGUUUGGGGUUUUACUUCUUAUCAGUUCAUUCGCAUUUAUCACAAAUUUUGCGGACACCAUGAGUAACAUUUUAAAAAUACGAAUGCUUAUAUUUGCCACUUCUAGUGUGUGUAUCACAAUGGUGUUGUGUUGGACUGGUCAGCAACUCAUAAAUUUGACAAGCGAAAUCUUUUUGUCUUUGGGCGGAGCUCCUUGGUACUUUUGGAAUCGUGAUAACAGGAAAAUUCUUCUGAUGUUUCUAACCAAUUGUACCAAAAAUGAAAGCGUUGUUUUGGCUGGAAUUUGUAUAAACUAUGCAUUUUUUCUUUCGCUCGUACGACUUACCGUUACAUAUACUCUAGUUUUGUACAAACUUCACAGAAGUGGAAUCGUUUAAAACAACCAAAAAUAAACCACUUUCUUUGUUUUAAACAACUCUUUGAACUUCAAACUCUUGUUUGAAUAAAAUGAAACUGAUGUUACUUUGCCAUUACAGUCGAUUUCGUUUGUUUUUGAGCGAAAUUUUGUCAAGAAUAAGCCGAAUAUUGACAAAAUUUGGUCGAAAAAGGAGUUAUUCCUACUUUUUUCAAGUUUGUAAACAAUUUUCAAUCUUGAUGUUAAGUAUUUUAGCUUGUUUUUGAAACAGCCACUCAUUUAUUUUUUAAGAUUUGGUCAAAAAACGUCUAAAAUUCACAAAAAUAAGUCGAAAUUAGUGAUAUUUUACUCGCUUUACUUCAUUUUUCUACGAAUUUGCAUAAAAAAAGACAAAAUUUUGUUAUUAUGAGGCAUUAUAUAAAAACGGUGUUGUCCUUACCGCUGAAAAAUGAUGAAAUUAGAUCGAAA